UAUGACUAUGUAUUUUGAAUAUGUAUAUGUGAUAUACAUAGUUGUCUUUUCAAAAUAAAAGUUAGAGAUAGAAGAGUAAAAAAACAAAAAAAAAUAUAAAAAGAGAAAAAACAAAAAAAGAGAAGUGAAAAAAGAAAAAAAAAAGGAAGAAAGAGAAAUUGAAGUGUAAAAAUAAAAGAAAAAAAGAAACAAAAUAAAAUAGAAAAAAGAAGAAGAAAACGAAAAUAGAAAAAGAAAAAAAAAGAUAUGAGAAAGGAAAAAAAAAGAGAAAUAGAAGAGAGAAAAUAAAGUGGAAAGAAAAAUAAAAAAAAAAUCAAAAUAAAAAAUAAAAUGAUAAAAAAUAAGAUGAAAAAAAAACUACAACAACAAGAAGAACAUACCCGGUAUAUUCUCACCAAGUGGGGUCUGGGAAGGGUAAGUGUACGCAGUUCAUACCACUACCUCUGAUGUGAGAUAGAGAAACUGUUUCUGAUAGACCCCCGACUCAAAAUAAAACAAUCUAGACAAUGAAAGAGUCAAAUGCUAUAACAUCUCACAAACAAUCUUCCAUCAUGAGAUUAGUUUAUGCAACUAAACCAAAUCACAUACACCACAAAACACUAGAAACCGAAGAACUUAAAAAGGACAACAAAUGAUGUUUUAUUUGAGAGAGUGAAAGACAGUAAUGAUGUUUUAUUUUGAAAUCUUGAAGAUCAUGGAGAUAAUUAUCUUCAAAUAUGAAAAAGAAAAAAAAAUGAAAAAGAAGAGAAAUAGAAGAGAGAAAAUAAAGUGAAAAUAAAAAAAUGAGAAUAAAAUAAAAUAAAAAAGUAAAAUGAUAAAAAAAAUAAGAUGAAAAAAAAGAGGUAA
rnacentral:lncRNA from 1 species